rnacentral:lncRNA from 1 species
AAUUUAUUCAAAUGUGUUGACUUUUGAUAUAUAGCUGAACUUUAAUCCAAUUUAAAUUUAAUUUAAACAAUCUGGGAUUAUAGGCGUGAACCACCACACCUGGCCUAUUAAACACUUGUUCUAAAGAGAAUGAUAUUACCAUGUUCAGCCAAUGAAACUGUAGAAUAAUUAGUACUUAGACGUAAUUGAAAUGUGUACCUAGCAGCAGAUCUCUUGCAGGAAGAAGUCUGAGCAGUUUGGCACAUAGAUAAAUGGGCCUAUGUGGCCCUUUAAGGUAAGAGAUAUUACCCUUCACAGUAGGUAGCUCUUUUUUAAAAAAUCCUAUCCCAUACAACCUGUUAAGUGGAAGAAAAUAUUUGCAAACCAUUUAUCCAACAAGGGACUAAUAUCUAUAAUAUACAGAGAACUCAACAGGAAUAAAACAGAUAAUCCCAUUAAAAAGUGGGCAAAGUUUGUGACCAGCCUGGCCAACAUAGUGAAACCCCAUCUUUACUAAAAAUACAAAAAUUAGCCAGGUGUGGUGGCACGUGCCUGUAGUCCCAACUACUUGGGAGGCUGAGGUGGGAGAAUCACUUAUACUUUGGAGGUGGAGGUUGCAGUGAGUGGAGACCAUGCCAUUGCACUCCAGCCUAGGUGACAGAGUGAGACUCCAUCUC